rnacentral:lncRNA from 1 species
CAGCACUAGUUUAAUUAGUCUAUUAACAAUUAGUUCAACAGAGAACAUACAUACAUCACAGCAGAAUUCUUUCCUUUCAAAUGAACUAUCCCUUUAAAAAUGAAUCUAAUUUCAAAUAUAAAUGCUAUAUGUGGGUAUAGAUUAUUUCAUUUUCUUUGGCAUCAUAAAUUAAGCAUGCACGGUUCAGAUGAAUAUGUAUCUGCUGCUAUGAAUCCUGUCAUAUCUCCUGUCCUGUGGACCUCGCUCCAUUAUGUUGAACGCCCCCAUAGAUAUGUAAAAACAACCUUUUGUCUGAGAACUGAAAAGUGAAGGCAAUUUGUCUGUGGCAACCAGCGGAGCUCUCAGACAGGAGAAUGUGUUAAUGAGAGAUCAAUUAAAGGCCCGUUAAGCGCUGUGUUUGCUAACACUUAACAAGCGCUGGUUUUGACAGUGCUUAACCAGCAGACUUCUUGGUAAUUGCUUUUUAUUUGGCUGUACUUCUCUGUCCUCUUUAAUGGUGCUGUCUUGCCAUCCUUUAUCUAAGCAGACAAAGAAUCGCUCAUUCAAUAAACCGAUGCCACCCUCCCCUCAUCAUUCGCUCUCUCUCUCGGUUUCUCGGUCAGGCAGGGUACGCAACCUGUGCAAAGCCUUUUGCUUCUCUGUGCACAUCAUUUCAAAGUGGAUUCUUAUUGAGCGACAGAAGGUAAGUUGGGCUUUCACAUAGAAAGAUUGAAUUUGGUUACCAGUUUUUGUGGUACAUGAUUGCAAAAUACUGAGCAUAAGCUAUUUUGACAUUCUUUGACAAUUUAGAAAAGUAAGUGAAUCUGAUGUACAAUAUGAUUUCCUUUGAUCUCUCUGUCAUGCUUAUAUUUUAUCCUCAUUCUAUUUCUAAAGCUAUGCGUCCAUCCAGUAUUUUGACCUUUGAACCGGGGUUGGAGGCUGGAGUGCCAUGGGGCCGUGAUCUUUUUACUUUUGUGACUUCAGCAGCUGGUCACAUGAUGAGGACUUUGCAAAGACCACGUAAAAACAAGCCUUCAAAACGACAAGUCAAUCAUCGCAGGUUUUUGCACAACAUGAUACAAAGAAAAUUUGCUGAAAUAGAGGCAGCAAACCAUCAGCUGGCGUCUGCUUUAUUUUCAACUGAUAAACCCCCCGAUCAUCUAACUCCCAGACUAUCUCACAUUGUAACAGACCAGUCACCCAAACCUUCAAAGAAAGGUAAAAGAGCCUUAUUUUUUAUUUUCAAAACCUGUUCUGGUUUGGUAUAUGUUUGAUGACUCCUUGUUCUGUUUUCUAAGCUAUUGAAUCUUUUAUAAAUGCUGACAAAACCGAAGCGCUUCCUGAACAACAAGAGGAUGUGUGUGACCUCUGGACAUUGGACAGUCUUUUGGACACCCAUGUGACUGAUAAAAGUUUCUCAUCGUGCAAGUUCUCCAACAGUAGAGGAACAAACCCGAGAACUGAGAAAGACGGCAAAGCUUUGG